AUUGAACGCUGGCGGCGGGCCUAACACAUGCAAGUCGAGCGGAUGAAGAGAGCUUGCUCUCUGAUUUAGCGGCGGACGGGUGAGUAAUGCCUAGGAAUCUGCCUGGUAGUGGGGGAUAACGUUCCGAAAGGAACGCUAAUACCGCAUACGUCCUACGGGGGAAAGCAGGGGACCUUCGGGCCUUGCGCUAUCAGAUGAGCCUAGGUCGGAUUAGCUAGUUGGUGAGGUAAAGGCUCACCAAGGCGACGAUCCGUAACUGGUCUGAGAGGAUGAUCAGUCACACUGGAACUGAGACACGGUCCAGACUCCUACGGGAGGCAGCAGUGGGGAAUAUUGGACAAUGGGCGAAAGCCUGAUCCAGCCAUGCCGCGUGUGUGAAGAAGGUCUUCGGAUUGUAAAGCACUUUAAGUUGGGAGGAAGGGCAGUAAGCUAAUACCUUGCUGUUUUGACGUUACCGACAGAAUAAGCACCGGCUAACUUCGUGCCAGCCGCCGCCGUAAAAC
rnacentral:rRNA from 1 species